CCAGACUCCUACGGGAGGCAGCAGUGGGGGAUAUUGCACAAUGGGGGAAACCCUGAUGCAGCGACGCCGCGUGAGUGAAGAAGUAUUUCGGUAUGUAAAGCUCUAUCAGCAGGGAAGAAGAUGACAGUACCUGAGUAAGAAGCCCCGGCUAACUACGUGCCAGCAGCCGCGGUAAUACGUAGGGGGCAAGCGUUAUCCGGAUUUACUGGGUGUAAAGGGAGCGUAGACGGCCAUGGCAAGCCCGGUGUGAAAGGCAGGGGCAUAACCCCUGGACUGCACUGGGAACUGUCAGGCUGGAGUGCCGGAGGGGUAAGCGGAAUUCCUGGUGUAGCGGUGAAAUGCGUAGAUAUCAGGAGGAACACCGGCGGCGAAGGCGGCUUACUGGACGGCAACUGACGUUGAGGCCCGAAAGCGUGGGGAGCGAACAGGAUUAGAUACCCCUGUACA
rnacentral:rRNA from 1 species